AUUGAACGCUGGCGGCAGGCCUAACACAUGCAAGUCGAACGGUAACAGGAAGAAGCUUGCUUCUUUGCUGACGAGUGGCGGACGGGUGAGUAAUGUCUGGGAAACUGCCUGAUGGAGGGGGAUAACUACUGGAAACGGUAGCUAAUACCGCAUAACGUCGCAAGACCAAAAAGGGGGACCUUCGGGCCUCUUGCCAUCGGAUGUGCCCAGAUGGGAUUAGCUAGUAGGUGGGGUAACGGCUCACCUAGGCGACGAUCCCUAGCUGGUCUGAGAGGAUGACCAGCCACACUGGAACUGAGACACGGUCCAGACUCCUACGGGAGGCAGCAGUGGGGAAUAUUGCACAAUGGGCGCAAGCCUGAUGCAGCCUUGCCGCGUGUAUGAAGAAGGCCUUCGGGUUGUAAAGUACUUUCAGCGGGGAGGAAGGGAGUAAAGUUAAUACCUUGGCUCAUUGACGUUACCCGCAGAAGAAGCACCGGCUAACUCCGUG
rnacentral:rRNA from 1 species